CAAAGGAAAACACGAAAAAAUCGACGUGCGUGAUUUCUAGCUGUUUAUUCAUAUCAUCAUUCCAUAUAUUUGUGGUGGAGCAGCGUUUGGCUAUGGACAAUCGACAAUCCCGUUCCUCGUCCAACUCCUCCACUGGCGGCUCUGAUGCUUCUUCCUCUGAGAAUCUCCACCGGCCUCAGCGCUUCGUCGUCGUCACUAUCCCUUUACUCUCUCUCUUCUCGAACUCCCGCUGCCACUGUCAGAGUUCCUCACUGUAAAUCUCUCAGAACUAAUCAGGAUAUAGCAGCAGUUGAGUAUAGGGAAUCGAACUCACAACUGACGCCGAAGAAUGACAAUGGAGGGUUUGGAGAGACGGAGGAGGACCCCGCCGAGCCCGGAGUUCCAGCAGCGGCUGCCGGCGGCGGCGAAGCUGGUGGAGGUAAAGGCAUUUCUGGAAUUCAAGUGCCCAGACAACGGUACAUAGCCAUUUCUAAGACGGAGCUUUUGGAUGGUAUUCUGCUGAUGUUCGAGUCACAAGAGGAGAUUGAUCAAUUUCUUCUUCUGACCUCGUGUUUGGACUCCAUACUUCAUGCUGAACACAAAAGCAUUUUAGAGGAAAUGCGAUUGGACUAUAACCUGACCCAGUCUGGCGAGAAGAAAAGAACUAGUGUCAAUGGUUCAGCUCGUUCAGAAAGAGACGAUGAACCCAAGGGAAAUGAAUUUGAAUCAUCUAUAGAAAAUACGGGUGGGACUGGGAGCAUGGAAGAGUACAGGGAAGACAAGAUUGAACCCGACAUGCUAGCAGCUUCGACUUUUAGCUUAAACCUGAGAUAUCUGUUGGGUUAUUUGCCCAGAAGCAUCAAGAGAAAUUCCUUGAAGGAGUCAAGAAUUGCUGUGGCCACUCGUUUCCAGCGCGCUUUCGUACAGCUUCUUUGUAAUGCUCAGUUUGAAGAACUGUCAGCCCGGGAUUUGAUGUUGACAACUGCAUUGAACAGUGAUUAUCUUCUUACUCUGCCAGUUUAUGUUGACUGGAAGAGGGCAUCUGAGUCCAAUGCUAUAAUAUUCAGGCGAGGUUAUGCAACGGAGAGGCAGAAGGGCUUACUACUUGUUGACAAAUUGGAUUAUUUACAGUCAAAACUGCUGCAAGGAAUUUUUUUAAUCAUCUCCAAGCCAUUAGCAAAAGUUGGAAUAUGGAUAACUGAGGCCUUUAAGAGCGCAUAUCAGGGACAAGAUGUACAAAUUUGGGCUGAGAGAGCUAAGCUUUGGCUGAAGAAACUGACCGUUCUCCAGCAGACAAAUCCUUUCAGUGAACAAAGUUCUGAUAACCUACUACAAGUUGACCAUUUAUCAGAUAAUGAACUUCCUAUUUGGCUGGCAGCACAAAGGGCAGUAACUCGAUAUGAAGGGAUUCUCUCACCCGUUGGACCCCGUGGCAGGCUCUUAAGGAAGUUCCUUAUAUGGAGUGGACUUAUCUCACCUAUGCCAAGAGAAUCAUUUGACCUUGAAUCUGAUGUUACUACUUCUGAACCAUAUUUAAGGCCAAUUUUCUUAUCGAGGAUAACACUUGGUGAUUUAUGGGAACCUGCCUCGAGGAAACACUUUGGAAACGAUCUCUGGAAAAGGUUGAAGACUGCUAUUUCCAUCCUUUUCUCGCAAUCAAUUCUCCAGGAGCCAGCAUUUCAAGAACUGAUUUUACUUUUCACUGAGGAAAGGGAUGAGGGAGAAACUGAAGAUACAGCUGAGGUUCCUUUGUUGCAGUUGAAGAUCUAUGAGAGAAUUCCUAUUCCAGAUUUACCGGUAAAUACUUAUGCUCAAUGUUAUUUUUCCUCACAAAAAGCUCUCUUUUCGUAUCCUAGACACGGUACGAUUGGAUAUUGCCACAAGCUUGGGACUUUUGGCGUACUUCAUAAACUACAAGUUUGUGAACAUCUUAUCAUCCCCGUAUGUAUGUUCUGUGCUUUUACAUAUUGCUUUGCCAAUUGUUUGCAUGUUAACAUGGAUGGAAAUACAAUGCUUUUUGACAUAGAAGGUACCAAUGUCUCAGUGUCUAUUGCUUAUGGAUUUUUAUGGCUUCAAAGGUGUCGAACUAAAUUACAACUUACGACGCAUUUGUGUAGUAUUAUUACAUGGGCUAGUGUCUGGAACCUUUCCUGGUACUUCAGCUUUGUGGAGGUAGGUUCUCUUCCAUUGUUCAGGUCUGGCGUCUUAGCAAUUUUUUUGGAAAGGGUAUCUGACUACGUUUUUCCCUCUUGUGAUGGAACUGUUGAAAAUGUAACCUCUAUUUGCGAGCAUAUGAAAGCGCAUUUCAAAACAGACAUUUUAUUCUGCUCAUAUGAAUUUCCAUUGUUCCAUCCUCUUUUUACUUCUUUUUUUCCUGAUUCCAUCAUUUAGACCCUAAUUUAGAUAUAUCCUUAUAUUCUGUAGUACGUAAUGCUUCUUUGAACUUGAUUGAAGUGAUUAAGAAAGGUCAACUGGAUGAGCAAAGAAAAUGGGGUAGAGUCAUCUAAAUGGAUGUUCUCUUGUGUGGAAACUUGUGGUUCGAAAUGUUGAUGGUAAACCACUUAUCUAGAAUAUAUAACUGAUAUGCAUAUUAUUUUUGGCUGGGGUUAAUGUUGACGACUUUGUGUACUAUUGACACAUUAAUUGCCAAUAACUUCAUUUUGGGCUUUACGUCUUGCAAAUUUUCAAGUGCCCUUUUUUACUGUUGGGGAGGGGGGAUUAGUGUUAAGUUUGGUGUCUCAUUUCAUAUUUACUUAAAUAAGCCAGUCUGCCGGUGUUUGAAUAUCUCAUCUUCCCCGCCAAAACUUGGUCAGAAAAUAUUUUUUUAAGUUAUGGUUUUUAUAUUUAGGUGGUCUGAAAAUAGGAAUAAUCUUCACUAAUUGAAGGCUUAAAAGAUCUGGGAUAUGUUCAGCCUCAUCCCAAAGAUUUAAACUGCAAGAGAGUGACACAGUUUAUUUCCUCAUUAGUAAAUUCUGAAUGAAGAAACGGUCAAACUCCAUCAAUCUGAUGCACUCAUGGAAGAUAAGAUUGUUAGCAAUAACUACAGUGUUGUAAUGGGCACAAUUAAUCUUCAAUAGGAGUUCAAACAUCUAUGCCAAAACCUAAAGGAAAGAGUGAGUAUUGUCAAACCAGGCAUGUAGAGACUGCUUUAGACCUUUACAUGCCUGUCACCAUCGAAGUACAAGGUGCGCACUAUUGGAAACUACAUAUCUAGAUCCAUGCACACUUCCUUCUAAUGAUCUCUUUGAAAGAAGGCGAAGAACAAUUGACUAUAACCGAAAAGAAUUAAGAUGAGCCAGAAGAGAUUAAGUCUACUGAUAAACAUCCCCAUGUGUCUGUGUAUACUGUAUGCCCUCAGGCAAUCAUCAUCAAAGGUCACUUAGGUUAUGCACUCCAGCCUAUUUUGAAACCAUUUAAGUUCCAAAACAUGCUCGGAACUGACAUAAGGAACUUCAGUUUUUUCUUUUUCAAAUUAGAAGCAAAUGUCCCAGGCUAAUGCAACAUGCUCAAUGCAAUUAUCUGCUGUGAGCUUGGAGCAAUGUUGCACAGCUUGGCAAUUUACUCUGGUCUGAUCCGCUCCACUCGGUUACCCCUUUGGAUUAGAUUUUUGGGAAUUUUUUUUUGGGAUCGGAUUGGAUUUGGAGGCAACAUUUUAAAAAAAUUUCAGAGUUCGGAUCAGCCACAUACCUCCAAGUCUCCGUUCCAAUCCCUAGCCCAUUAAUUAGUAUAUAUUAUGCUAUAUGAUAUUUUUAUUUUUACCAACAAUUGUUAUAUUUUUGCAAAAAAUAUGUGUGGAUUAUGUUUGUGGAAAUGUUAGACUUCGGUUCUUUGGUUUGGAUGUUUCUUGGAAUUCGAACUUUGUUGUAAUUAAAAAAAAUCAAAUUUUUUCAUCAUUAUUGGCUUGAAUUUGUAGUAACGAAAAAAUAUAGUACAUUUAUAUUUUUUGUCUUGAAAAUUUUCGGGCGCAGGGCAGGUAUGGACAAUCAAGGUGAUUUUCCGUUCCCGGGACGGUUACAGAUAUCAGAUUCGGGGAUUGAGGACUGGGAUGGCCAAAUCUAUCCCCAUCCCCCCACGUGAUUUGGGCAUAUUAAAUAAAGUUAAAACAUAUUACCCUAUAUGACCAACCCCGUAUUUUGACCGCUGAAAUCACCAGCACAACAUACAUGUAACACCAAGAAACCUGGGAGUUUCCAUGAUAACUAUUGACAAGGGAUGGUGAGAUAUUUAAGUUCUUUGAGCUCCUCUAUCAACGCUAGAAAGGAUUAAGGGAACUACAUGUUAUAAGGACUGCUACCAACGAAUGACCUAGGUUACGUGCCUAUUUCCAUGUCCAUGACUUGGGAGUGAGGACUAUGGCCAAACCUGUUUUGGUUUUGAUUCUUUGAUUCCUUGGUAUUUCUGUGGUACAGUUAGGCAUGCAAGUGGUUGAUAUGUGUCGGGUUUGUCGCAACAUAGGGAUUUGAAACACCUUCCAUUACCAAAGAAACUAUUUCUUGCCCAUUUUGUUUUAUACCGCGUGCAUUCUUGUGAGCUAUGACUAAUAUCUCACUGAAGUACCAUGAAAAUGCUGUUAACUGGUGAAAUAUAUCAAGUACUUCUAAUUGUCGACAGGGGGAUAUUUGCUCCUUGCACUAAUAUUGGCUUCUUGUAUUUGUAGGUAUAAUGCACUUGUGCUUGGGCUGCUAUAUUGUUAUCUGCAUGAUCACUUAUAUUAUUUGUCAGUGUGUAUAGUUUUUUCAUUUCGUGGUUCACAAGUCAGGGGCCUGAAAAAUAUUUAUCUUGCUGCAAAUUUCCAGACAACUUUUGCUUGUGUGACCUGUGUUUAUGUUAGCAAAACCUAUUGGGCAAGUUAAGAAGUAUUUUACGUGAAACCGAGAACAUAAAAAGAAUAAGCAACAUUGAUGCCCACAUUGGGCCCUUUAUAUCAUGCAUAAUAAACUAAAAGCAACCUCGAUGUGGACGAAUAGCGAAGAAGUGGAACAGAAAGAGUAUUAAUUCUUUAAAUUGCUCUGUACGAUAUCCGCUGCAGAAAGAAUUCGUUCACAUUUUACAUAGACAUCUCUUUGGUGUGGACUAGGAUUUACUUCUGGAGGUUGUUCCUCUCCAAGCAGAAUCAGAAUUUAUAGUUCUUUUUGCAUCAUGUUGAGUUUCAUUCACGAGAAUGUUAACUGCACUUCUUGAUUGUUAAUACAGAUCUGCUGUACUUCUAGAUGUGAUUGGAAUCAGUGCUCUUAUUAUAUAUGUGACCCGUGUGGCUCUGGGUUACAAACAGACAAGGGAUAGGUAUCAGCUUCUGGUCAACAAGACACUUUAUGAGAAAACCUUAGCAAGUGGCUUCGGCUC